rfam:Acanthamoeba castellanii str. Neff unplaced genomic scaffold scf7180000084729, whole genome shotgun sequence.
GCGUUGGUGGUAUAGUGGCAGCAUUGGUGCCUUCCAAGCACUAGACCCGGGUUCGAUUCCCGGUCAACGCA